rnacentral:rRNA from 1 species
UACGUAGGGUGCGAGCGUUGUCCGGAAUUACUGGGCGUAAAGAGCUCGUAGGCGGCUUGUCGCGUCGACUGUGAAAUCCCGCGGCUCAACUGCGGGUCUGCAGUCGAUACGGGCAGGCUAGAGUUCGGUAGGGGAGACUGGAAUUCCUGGUGUAGCGGUGAAAUGCGUAGAGAUCGGCAGGAACACCCAGGGGGAAACCAGCCGACUGGGCAUCGUACUGACGCUGAGGUGCGAGAGCGUGGGGAGCGAACCGG